CUUUGAUGCAUCAUCAGCCACUAGAGAGUAAAGCAGAAAAUUCUCUAACAAAGUAUUUAGUGGAUAACGGCAGUCGUCAGGGAAAAGUGAAGUCUGUCUCAGACUGCCUCUGUGUUCUAAUGGUCCACAGCUAUAGUCACUUUAUUGUCUGGGAGACAGAAGAAAUGGCAGCACAUUAACUUAUAACUUCUUCCUCUGGUUGGAUGGAUGCUGAGGUGGUUAUCACAAGUAAUAAUACCACAGUGAACAGCCUUGUGGAUUGCACUGGGGCAUGAGAGAUGGAACCAAGAAUGGAUGGUUGCAAUAGGAAAAGGGAAGCUAGCACUUGGACAGUCUGAAGAGGACUGGCCCACCUAAUUUGCAUGGAUGGUCUUUAGCAAGAUGAAAACACAAAGACAUCUGUUUAAACAUUAAGAACUGCAACAUGACUACAGAAGACAAUGAAAGAAGUUCAACCCCUUAUGCUACACAUUCACGAAACUCCCCCCUCGAAUCUAUCAAAAUUUAGGAAAAUGGUUGAAAUUGGAAACCACCGAAGUUUAGGAAUGGAUGAUUAAUGUGUGGGUUGAUUUUGUCAACUGCACAUAAACCAGAGUCUUCUUGAAGGAAGAGGUGGUACCUUCAUUAUGGAACCCAAAUGGUCUAGCAUUUUCUUGACUGUUUGUUGAUGAAGGAAAACCCAGCUCACUAUGAGUGAUGCCAUCCUUGGCCUAGGGACCAAGGUGAUAAUUGUCUGCACAGAGUAGGAGAGACUGGCAUGAGGAGGAAGAACAGGAUUCAGAUUCCUUUUAAGACAGAAGCUCGGAGUUGUUGACCAGUCAGACUUGCCUGAGAACUGGAAAAUGCAAGCAGAUGACUAUGCAAUGACUGCCUUCCAGGAACCGUCUCCACAUCCUCAGCAUCUGCAUAUGGUAUAAGCCUAACUGUGUCCCAGUGGCAAGCCAACUCCAUCCUUGGCCUUGGUACUUUGAGCAAGCACCCAAAGAUGUUUCUGCUGCAACAAAAGCCCAGACCCUGGUUUGGAUUUUGGCAGUGCCCCUUUCCAUGGAAAUGAGGUGAAGGUUCAGACCCAUCCUACGAGCUGAAAGAGAUCCCAAGAGUGUCAUUUCACUCACGAGACAGGAACCAUCUACAGAACUCAGGUCACUUGGCCAGAGCUCUGCUCGUGGUACAUCUGAACCGACCCGGUGCAGGGAGCCCGCAGCUAAACUCAGCGGCCAGGAGAGUCGCAACCAGGCGGUCAACGCCAGGUUCCAGUUGGAGCCGGGAGCCUUGAACUGCCAGAGGGGCGGGACCGAGCGCAGCCCAGCUCUUUGAUCCUACUGCGCAGGCGCCAACGAUUCCUGGCGGGUAGCAUAGGUUCUGAGCUUUUCUUUCAGCUAGGUUACAGACUGGGUCCUCUACAAGUCGGCUAGUUCGCUGGGCCAGAAGAAAGGAACUGCGGACACCAUUCAGGUGACUCAAGAGACUUGUUGCUGUAUAUGCCUGUCUCUGCAUUUAAAACUUUUGUGGAUUUAUCUGGGUACCCUGCACUUUUGGAAACCCCCUAUGUCUCAGGAAAGCUGCGUAAAAUCUAUGGUUUACCUAGUGACGUUAACAUUUAUGCUCUGCUGUUUGGAGGACCAAAUGCCCGUAGAUUCUUUUAGAUGGAGGUUACAGUCAACUCUUGCAGCAGAAAAUGAUUUUGCUAUUUGCUCCUCCUUUGCAUGAUUCUCAACUUGAAACAAAAUGAUGCUGUCCCCUUCUUGGUGGCUUAGACUUGUAUAAAUGUUAAGAUAGGGUGGAGAACCUGCUGUAGACGGCUUUUCAUUCCUUUUCUAUUUACACCUUGGGUCAGUCGGACUGACUGAUAUAUAUAUAUAUCGUUUAAUGUCCUCCAUCUACCCUGACCUAACCGCACCUCAGCCCUAAAGUUCCAGGUGGUUGGAUGCAAGCUAGAUGGUUCGAUGGGCUAUGAAUGAAAAGACGAGUGUAUCUCUUCCAGGUGUAUUUAAAACUGAUUCCAUUCCAGGUGAGGCUCAGUGGUAGCAGGGUAGGUAUAUGGUGUAGGCAGAGCAGCAUCAGGUCGUUUCCAUUUAACCUGUUAGGCUGAGGCCAUAAAGCUGCGGCAGCGUGAAGGCCUGAAGUUUCCUCACCCUUCGCUUGUGCUCUCCAAAAGGCAGAGCAGAAAGCAGAAAAACGUCAAAAGUCACUGGGUAAACCACCAGCUUCAUAAUCACAUCCUGUGUUAAGAAUAAGCAAAUGUCCACAUAUGCUUACAGCCAUUUAAACAAAUGAUAACUCUGAUUUUGUUAACUAGAACAAAGCCACACGUGGAUCUAAUUCAGCUAUAAUAAGGAAUGUUUCAAAAGAAGUGGGGGAAACCAGUGGGCCGUUAUCAAGGAGGCUUGCUCUAUACCCAAGAAUAUCCCUGCAUUCCUUUCCAAGACACUAGAACACACAUUUCUUUCUUUCUUCUUCUUUUUUCUUUUAUUAUUCUCUAAUAUAUUACAUAUAGACAACAGCUUUCCCCUCCCCUCUCCAACUCCCCUCUCCCCCAUCUAUUCCCCUAUUCCCCUACCCCUGUCAGUCUCUCC
rnacentral:lncRNA from 1 species